rnacentral:rRNA from 1 species
AUGCGGACGAGUGGUGCUGAUGGAUUCAGUGCAGCUUCUUCUGCUCAUAUCGCCGCUCUCGGUAGCGCCACCACGACGGCGGUCUCCGCCGAGCACUUUCCUAAGGUCAUCGGAAGGAAGGUGUACUACAGAUCCGAAUCAUCCUGUCAGGAAAGCGAUCUACCGUCGGAUCCGGAGCAUGACCCCAGACUCCCGCAACACGAGUUCGACUCUGAGUUUUGCGCCACCGAGAAGUACCAAAAGCUGAGUUGUGUUCAUGGGCACACUCCCCCUCGACGUGUAUGCACAGAGGGAUUCAACAUUGGCAGGCGGUUUCUCAGUUGCCCCUUAGAGAAUGGCAUGGCAGGGCUCAGAGUGUUGCUAUCACCAAGCUCGCAGAAGAUGAUAACGCGAUGGCGAUCACAUGAAUCCUUCAGUUGGAACAUUUCAGGCGAUGGCGCUGGUCGUGCCGUCAUGGUAGGAGGCGCUCCAUCGAGGAGGCACCACUGGUGCCCUGGCAUCAAAAGAGCUGCAGCCAGGGAUGAGACGAGGAUAUGCCGUCAGACUGCCUCUUCCCCUUCACGUGUGAGCUCCUUCUUUCACUCCCUCGAUUCACAUCUUCUCCUGCUCCCUCUCACUUGCUGCCCCUCCAUCCCCGACGGAUCCACAACGCUGGAAGCUGGUGGGGCGAGGUAG